rnacentral:rRNA from 1 species
UAGGGAAUAUUGCACAAUGGAGGAAACUCUGAUGCAGCGACGCCGCGUGAGUGAUGAAGGCCUUCGGGUCGUAAAGCUCUGUCGUAUGGGAAUAAGAAAGUGAAUGUACCAUGCAAGAAAGGAUCGGCUAACUUCGUGCCAGCAGCCGCGGUAAGACGAGGGAUCCUAGCGUUGUUCGGAAUCAUUGGGCGUAAAGCGGGCGUAGGUGGCUUUAUAAGUCAGGUGUGAAAUCCCCGGGCUCAACCCGGGACGUGCACUUGAUACUGUUUAGCUUGAGUGUGGAAGAGGUGAGUGGAAUUCCAGGUGUAGUGGUGAAAUACGUAGAUAUCUGGAGGAACACCGGUGGCGAAAGCGGCUCACUGGUCCAACACUGACACUGAAGCCCGAAAGCGUGGGGAUCAAACAG